UUUCGCAAUGCCCGAAAGGGUGACGAAGCGACGCCGCGUGCGGGAGGAAGGCCUUCGGGUUGUAAACCGCUGUCGGGAGUUAAGAAAUGUAAGGAUGUUAAUAGCAUCUUUGCUUGACUAAGGCUCCGGAGGAAGCCACGGCUAACUCUGUGCCAGCAGCCGCGGUAAUACAGAGGCGGCAAGCGUUGUUCGGAAUUGUUGGGCGUAAAGAGCACGUAGGCGGCUAUGUAAGUCGGUUGUGAAAGCCUUCCGCUCAACGGGAGAACAGCAUCCGAUACUGCAUGGCUUGAGUGCGGGAGGGGAGAGUGGAACUUCUGGUGGAGCGGUGAAAUGCGUAGAUAUCAGAAGGAACGCCGGCGGCGAAAGCGGCUCUCUGGCCCAUAACUGACGCUGAGUGUGCGAAAGCUAGGGGAGCAAACGGGAUUAGAUACCCCGGUAGUCCUAGCCGUAAACGAUGGGCACUAAGUAGAGGGGUUUUAAUCUC
rnacentral:rRNA from 1 species